AUCACUUCCCGGCCUUUUGACUAAGAUCAAGUGUAGUAUCUAUUCUCACCAGUUUAAUAUCUCAUACAUCCUCUAUCUGAGGACAAUAUAUUCAACGGAUUUUUAAAGCAGGGAAGUGGAAUAGGAGCUUGCUCCAUCCAGUCCACACAUGGACCCAGUACAGCAGUACUUCUGGGGAUAGUACACCCCUC